rnacentral:lncRNA from 1 species
UUACAUGAGAUAUAAGUUUAAUUCUGUAAAAUGUAAUGGACUUACAUACAAAUUAUCAAACUUGCUUUACAAUCAACUUUAUGAUUACUUGUUUUGGUUAGUACAAGUACUUGGUUGGAUCUAUAUAUAUAUAUUAGUAUAUUGUACAUAGCUAUAUAUGCCAUGGCCCAUUGGUAUAUACUAAAUCAUAUAUUUAUAUAAAUCUGAUAUCCUUUAAAAAUAUCUAAUAUAAUAUCCAUUUUGAUAUAAUGAAUAUAAAUAUUACAGAAUAACUAGUGAAAAAAAAAUUGAAAUUAUAUUUUGUAGAAAAGGAAAUUAAAUGAAAAAAAUCAAUAAAAAUUAAAUUAAAUCUUCAGUUGUUAAGAGGAAGUCAAGCUCUUUGGAUCAUUUUCCUCUGAAUGGAGGGUGUGCUUCUGAAGACUUUUUCUUCAGGAUUCUCUCUUUAGAGAGGUCUCUUAAUAGACUCAAGUUCAAUACAAUUUAUUUUCUGAAGUUUUAUUUCUCCUUGGCCCUUCUAUUUGGGGAUUUGGAUCUGGAGAGUGAGACACCUUCUUAAUAGUAACUCAACAACAAAGUUAUAAAAGCUACGGCGUUGUGUUUGGGGUUCACAACUCAAUACGUCCCCGUUGUAUAAGAAAACUGUUAUUUUGCGUGUUCUCAUUCGAAGGCUUUAACUCUCUAGAAUAUGAUUCGGCUCAAGAAGUUUUUCUUUUUUUUCCAUAAUAAACCUAAUAAGAGAAGGAAAAAUCUGUAUAGUUUCAAGUAAAACUUUUCAAUGAUGUUAGCAAAUUUAAUUAAUGACUUCAAGUGAUGAUAGGAUCUGAAGUCAUUUGUGUUUCUAAAGAAGUCUUUAUUAAUAAUUUUAUUGACAUGAAUACAAGAUCCAAACUCUAAACUUUAAAAUGAGUAAUUUUCACAUUUUAUGAUUAAUAUGCUUAAGUAUUUAUCCCUUAUCCUCUCAUGAAAAUAUGUCCUUGAAUUUCUUAGAAGGUUUUUAUAACUUCGACAGACAUGUUCGAGAAAAAAUGAUAUAGAUACGAUUUUUUUUUAACUCCUCUGCCUUGACUCCAAUUAUAUUAUAAAAUAUUUAUAGACCUAUUAAUUUAUCAAUAUAUGAUGUAAUGUCGAAUAUAUGAGAAGGAAGUUUGGUUUUGUUACAAAAGUAUAAAGAGAGCAGAAAUAUCUAUCUAUUCAAAAAAUAUAUUAUCCAAUCUCUAAUUGUUCGGUAUUUGAAUGUAAUGUUAAGUAAAAGACUUGAUCAAUGAUAACUAUUUAAAAGCAAAAAUUGCAUUGACAUAUUAUGAACUACUCCAAAAUACAUACAUAAGUAAUUA